AAGAAUUUAAGUUAAGAAAACUCUUAGCCUUCAAAGCUAAAAAUGGGGUAAAAUAAACCUAAUUCUUA
rnacentral:tRNA from 1 species